rnacentral:rRNA from 1 species
CCUACGGGGGGCUGCAGUAAGGAAUAUUGGUCAAUGGGCGCAAGCCUGAACCAGCCAUGCCGCGUGAAGGAUGACGGCCCUAUGGGUUGUAAACUUCUUUUGUACGGGAAAAAACCACCGGUCGUGUAUCGGUGCUGAUGGUACCGUAAGAAUAAGCAUCGGCUAACUCCGUGCCAGCAGCCGCGGUAAUACGGAGGAUGCAAGCUUUAUGGGGAUUCAUGGGGUGCAGGCGGUGUGUUAAGGGAAUGGUGAAAGCCUACAGCUCAACUGUAGAACUGCCAUUGAUACUGACAUUCUUGAGUAUUGUUGAGGUAGGCGGAAUGUGUCAUGUAGCGGUGAAAUGCUUAGAUAUGACACAGAACACCGAUCGCGAAGGCAGCUUACCAAGCAAUAACUGACGCUCAUGCACGAAAGCGUGGGGAUCAAACAGGAUUAGAUACCCCUGUAGUC